GAGGAAGAAACCCCAUGUCAAUAUCGGCACAAUUGGGCAUGUCGACCAUGGUAAAACCACUCUCACUGCCGCUUUGACUAUGGCUUUGAGCAAAGCCCCAAAGAAAUACGACGAAAUUGACGCCGCCCCUGAAGAACGAGCUCGUGGUAUUACAAUUAAUACAGCUACUGUCGAGUACGAGACGGAGAGCCGUCAUUACGCUCAUGUCGAUUGCCCUGGCCAUGCUGAUUAUGUCAAGAAUAUGAUUACUGGUGCUGCUCAAAUGGAUGGAGCUAUACUUGUUGUUUCAGGAGCUGAUGGUCCAAUGCCGCAGACUAAGGAACAUA
rnacentral:misc_RNA from 1 species